UCCACACGUCAUCUGCAGCACAGACAGAGAUACAGGAUGCUGGCAGAUUGGAACCGGCCUUCACCUCUCCUCGCUCUCUUUCCUCAAAUCAAAACCCACCGUUUGCCGUCUUCCUGCGAGGGGUGCGGAAAAAGAGAAAAGUCAAGCUCCAUUUCCAAAGGGCGAAGGGCAGAGAGAACGCCAGCCCGGAUUCGUGCUCUGCCUUCCACGGUCGCACUCCGCUCUGCGCCCGGCAAGGGAGCUCCUCCAGCUGCAGCAGUGGUUGAGAGUUGGCGCCACCUGGCUUCUUAGAAAAGAACAGAGGCAGGAGUGGAUUCAAGACUCUAAAAACAAAUGAGACUCGCUGAUGUAUUCCUCAUUAGAAGAACCAUUACCUUGUCCCAGGGACCCCAGAGCGUCUCACACAGUAGAGCUGGUAUGUUUAAAGAAGGACUGCCCAAAUGAAAUGGUACUGACUGACUUUUGCUUUUAAUUCCUACUCCUGGACCCAAGACUAUUGUAUUCUGGCCCAGUAAUUCCUGAUGAAUGAGAAAUAGAGUGAGGAGUGUGGACAGUCGGGGUGCUACAGGGACGUAUCCUAAAGACUUGAUCCAUGCUCACCUACACCUGCCAGAGACUGGUGGACCCCAUCUUUGCCAGAACUUUCUCAGAGGAGUAAGGUGCUGAGCAGGAAGCCUACCUGGGCUCUCCAGCUCUGUGA